rnacentral:rRNA from 1 species
GACGAACCGAGCGACCGUUAUUCGGAAUCACUGGGCUUAAAGGGUGCGUAGGCGGGCUGUCAAGUCUGGGGUGAAAUCCCGCGGCUCAACCGUGGAACUGCCUUAGAUACUGAUGGCCUCGAGGGAGGUAGGGGCAUGCGGAACUGUAGGUGGAGCGGUGAAAUGCGUUGAUAUCUACAGGAACUCCGGUGGCGAAAGCGGCGUGCUGGACCUCUUCUGACGCUGAGGCACGAAAGCUAGGGGAGCAAACGGG